UACGAAGGGAGCUAGCGUUGUUCGGAAUCACUGGGCGUAAAGCGCACGUAGGCGGAUGUGUCAGUCAGGGGUGAAAUCCCGGAGCUCAACUUCGGAACUGCCUUUGAUACAGCACGUCUUGAGUCCGGAAGAGGUGGGUGGAAUUCCUAGUGUAGAGGUGAAAUGCGUAGAUAUUGGGAGGAACACCAGUGGCGAAGGCGGCUCACUGGACCGGAACUGACGCUGAGGCGCGAAAGCGUGGGGAGCAAACAGG
rnacentral:rRNA from 1 species